ACAAGGUCGGGGGGUGUUGGGCUGCGGUACUGUCCCUAAGCGGGAGAAUAAGCUUCCCGUGCCUUCUGGCAGCGGGGAGGGACCCUGCCCGCCUCGGGCUGCGGGUCCCCGCUCCCGGUCCAGGGAACCCUCAGGCUUAUGUUUUGGGCCCCAUAUGUUCCUUUCUACAGAAGGCUAAGUCUCAGGAGGCUCAAGUAAUUGUGGUCAUCUGCUGCAUCAGUGUGAUUUAUUUGGUCACACUGUGUGAUUUCCUCCUUGUGUUUGGGAUUCUCUCCACAGAAGCUGGGCCAUUCAGGAAUGGUAAAUAUUCUCAAAUCUGAACAAUUGAGAAUGAGCAAUGUUAUAUGGCUGUCUCCAUUUCAAAAGAUUUUAUGUUCUCUGUACAAGUACCUACCACAUUACAAUGUGUCUAGGCUUGUACAUGGUUUUGUAGGUAAUUCAAAUGAAAUGCCUGUGCAACUCAAAAAUAGUUGACAGUAUCAACUAAAAACUGCAAUGCCUGGGUAAGGAUAAAAAGAAGAUAUCUGAUUUGAGUAUACCCAUAAAAAAAUGAUUUCUAUGCAGUUCUGUCAGCAAAAAUAUGACCAAUACUCCUGAGCAAUGGUCCUGCCUGAACAUGUUUCUGUGAUUUCAUUGCCUUAGUAGAAGCCCUCCAUAUGGCCAUGUGAUUGCUGCUGCUGCUGCUGCUUCACGUGAUCCAGCUUUCUGGCACAAAGGCUCUGAGCUCGUACAGAUGAUUGUUAAACGUCAUGAGACUCUGAAAGGUAGAGUAGGCAAGAGGAGGAGGAAGCCAAGAAAAGAACUGUGUGGGAGUUGCACUGAAAAAUGGAUUUGGGCAAAAAGAGAAGCACUGAAGAAGGGAGAGUGAAUCUCUUGAAGAAAAACUUGAAAGCCUGGAUGCUGAAGAUCUCAUGUCUCAUCUGUCACAACCAGAAAUCUACCUAGAUGAGGAAAAAAGAUCAAUUUCCUGUAACACUACUUGGGCUGCCUAUCUUGGUAACAGCAGGAAUUUAUACCAAGACAGAAGUAAGCAAAUCAUACAGUUUUCAAGAAGUGGGAAAGCAUUGAGAAUUACUGCCUCCAGGCCUUGAAGGUAGUUAAAAGUGCAGAAUAAAUAACAUUAUAUUCUCUAAAUAGCUCCUGUUAUUUAAUAAAAUGCUUGCUCAAAAAAUUAAUAUUACCAGUGCAUUAAUUAGUUAAACUGACUAAUGAGUUCCUAAUAUCUCUGCAAGUGACAGUGAGAUGAGUAUUUUGAAUGCAGUCAGAUGGGGUUGA